AUCGCUUCUCGGCCUUUUGGCUAAGAUCAAGUGUAGCGUUUGUGACGUCAUUUUUUCGGCUUCGUGUAUUUUCGCUUUUUCCAGCGUUU
rnacentral:sRNA from 1 species